ensembl:lncRNA
AUGAUGCUGAUUUUCCAGAACGCCGAUGUGAGGACAAGCAAGAGCCAUCACAACAUGACAAGCAGUUUAUGCACACUGCGGAAGCUGAGGGUCGUCUUUGACUGCACGGCAACAUACCAGGGAGUGUCGUUAAAUGACCAACUGCUACAAGGACCUGACCUUACAAACAACCUCAUUGGAGUGCUGCUUAGGUUUAGACAGGAGCCUAUUGCACUAAUGGCGGAUAUUGAAUCCAUGUUUUACCAGGUGCGGGUUCCAGACCAAGACGCAGAUCUGUUGCGUUUUCUCUGGUGGCCAGGCAGCAAUCUGAGUGAGCAAGUGACAGAGUACAGGAUGUGUGUGCACCUAUUCGGAGCUACUUCAUCCCCCAGUUGUGCAUCAUAUGCACUAAGAAGAACAGCACAGGAUUCAGCUGUUACAACUUCACCAGAAGUCAUACAGACAGUUCACAGAAACUUCUACAUGGAUGAUCUUUUGAAGUCAGUUGCCACAGAAGAUGAUGCUGUUCAUCUUGUGAAAGAGUUGACGAAGUUGUGUGCCAGAGGUGGGUUCCACUUGACCAAGUGGAUUAGCAACAGUAGAACCUUGCUGUGUUCCAUUCCUGGCGAUGAAAGAGCAGCUGAAGUUAAAGAUCUGGACUUGCAGCAUGAUGAACUACCAGUAGAACGGGCAUUAGGUGUGCAGUGGUGCACAAGUUCUGAUAGCUUCAAGUUCAAGAUUCAGCUGCCAGACAAGCCGUACACAAGGCGAGGCAUUCUAUCCAUUGUUAGUUCCGUGUAUGACCCAAUGGGAUUUUUGGCACCACUACUCUUACCAGUCAAGCUUAUUCUGAGAAACCUCUGCAAACAGAAAAGAGGAUGGGACGAAGAAAUUCCAGAGAAGCCACGUCGGUUAUGGCAGAAGUGGUUAACAGACCUUGACAAGCUGUCAGAACUCAGUGUGAGCAGAUGUUUUAAGCUCAACCCAUUUGGGCUCACAAAGGUUGCACAAAUUCACCAUUUCUCAGACGCAAGUCAAGAUGGAUAUGGGGUUGUGUCAUACCUCCUGUUAACGAAUGAGCGAGAAGAAAAGCACGUUUGCUUUUUGAUGGGAAAAUCCAGGGUCGCACCUCUUAAGCAGGUUACCAUUCCAAGAAUGGAGCUGACAACUGCGAUGGUUGCAGUUAAGAUUGACCGGAUGUUGAAAGAAGAACUUCAACUUCCCCUUACGGAUUCAGUCUUCUGGACGGAUAGUACAACAGUACUAAAGUACAUUGAAAACGAUGCCCUUCGUUUCAAGACAUUUGUGGCAAAUCGUGUCUCUUUCAUCAGAGAGGCCACCACAAGAGCUCAGUGGAAGUAUGUCAGCACCUCUCAAAACCCAGCUGAUCAGGCAUCAAGAGGCGUAAAGAUUGAGAGUUUUAUGUCAUGUAAGAGCUGGUUUCAAGGGCCUAGUUUUUUGGGCAAUGAGAAUGAGUGGCCAGAGCAAUCUGAACAGUCUACUCAACUGUCAGAACAUGAUGAAGAGGUGAAGACAUCAGCUGCUGUGUCAUGCACAAGUCCAGUGGUAGACAACAUAGAUCCAGUAAACCAACUUGUGGAGUAUUAUUCCAGUUGGCACAAAUUGAAGAAAGCAACCGCCUGGAUUCUACACUUAAGACAGAUGUUGCAGUACCUGAGUGGAAAAAGAAAAGAGUUCGAGAAGACUGUGCAGCUGUCUGAACAUGACACAGAAAAACGCAGAUCAAUGGUUAAAGAACACAUGAUCAUGUGUAAAAAGAAUCUGAAAAGGAAAAUGCUUAACAUUGAAGAUCUGUCCAAAGCUGAAAUUGAACUGAUCAAAUACAGCCAGAGACAAACCUUUGCUGAAGAAAUAAAAGUUCUUCAUCAGGGAAACACUCACGUGAAAAGAAACAGCUCAAUUUUCAGAUUGGACCCAUACUUAGAAGAUGGGGUGUUGAGAGUAGGUGGACGUCUGAACAGAUCAGCGAUGCCUGAGGAGGCCAAGCAUCCUGUCAUUCUGCAUAAACAACACAGAAUAGCCCACCUUAUUCUUCAUCACGUCCAUCAAAUAACAGGACACGGUGGCACAAAUCAUGUUUUGGCAAGAUUAAGACAAAGGUAUUGGAUACCUAAGGCUAAUUCAGCAGCAAGAACUGUGAUCUCAGAGUGCAACCUCUGCAGAAAGCUGCAUGCAAAGGCUGGAGAACAGAAAAUGGCAGACUUGCCACAAGACCGUCCGAUUCCUGAUAAACCGCCUUUUACGAACACAGGCAUGGAUUAUUUUGGUCCUUUUGAGAUCAGAAGAGGGCGUGCCAACAUCAAACGUUACGGAGUGCUCUUCACAUGUCUGACGGUUAGAGCAGUGCAUAUAGAAGUCGCCCAUUCCCUUGACACUGACUCGUGUAUUAAUGCUCUGCGUCGUUUCCAAGCCAGAAGAGGACAGGUGUCAGUCAUUCGUUCCGACAAUGGCACAAAUCUGGUCGGUGCAGAAAGAGAACUGAGACAAGCAUUAAAAGAACUGGACCAGUCCCGUAUCAAUGAAGCCAUGAUACAGAAAGGAGUGCAAUGGAUUUUCAACCCACCUGCUGCAUCUCAUCACUGUGGCAUCUGGGAGCGUCAAAUUCGUACAGUUAGAAAGGUGCUGAGUUCUGUUGUGAGGCAACAAUCGUUGGAUGAUGAAGGACUACAGACCUUCCUGUGCGAAGUUGAAAGCAUCAUCAAUGGGAGACCUCUCACCACAAACACAGAUGACCCCAGCGAUCUCGAGCCAUUGACGCCAAAUCAUCUGCUUCUACUGAAGACACAACCCAGCAUACCGUCUGGUGUGUUUGUUAAAGAAGAUGUUUACGCGCGGCGACGCUGGAGACAAAUCCAAUACAUGUUCUGGAGACGGUGGACCCAGGAAUAUUUACCACUUUAG